UACGUAGGAUGCAAGCGUUGUCCGGAAUUAUUGGGCGUAAAGAGUUCGUAGGUGGUUAUCUAAGUCUGGUGUUAAAGACGGGAGCUCAACUCCCGCAUGGCAUCGGAAACUGGAUGGCUAGAGUGUGAAAGAGGUAACUGGAAUUCCUGGUGAAGCGGUGAAAUGCGCAGAUAUCAGGAGGAACACCUGUGGCGAAAGCGAGUUACUGGUUCAUUACUGACACUGAGGAACGAAAGCUAGGGUAGCAAAAGGG
rnacentral:rRNA from 1 species